rnacentral:rRNA from 1 species
UACGGAGGGUGCGAGCGUUGUCCGGAAUCACUGGGCGUAAAGGGCGCGUAGGCGGCCUGAUAAGUAGGGGGUGAAAUCCCGGGGCUCAACCCCGGGCCUGCAGUGGAUACGGGCUGGCUAGAGGCAGGCAGGGGAGAACGGAAUUCCUGGUGUAGCGGUGAAAUGCGCAGAUAUCAGGAGGAACACCGGUGGCGAAGGCGGUUCUCUGGGCCUGUACUGACGCUGAGGAGCGAAAGCGUGGGGAGCGAACAGG